rnacentral:rRNA from 1 species
UACGGAGGGUGCGAGCGUUGUCCGGAAUCACUGGGCGUAAAGGGCUCGUAGGCGGUCUGUUGCGUCAGGAGUGAAAACUCGGGGCUUAACCCCGAGCCUGCUUCUGAUACGGGCAGACUAGAGGUAUGCAGGGGAGAACGGAAUUCCUGGUGUAGCGGUGAAAUGCGCAGAUAUCAGGAGGAACACCGGUGGCGAAGGCGGGACUCUGGGCCGAUACUGACGCUGAGGAGCGAAAGCGUGGGGAGCGAACAGG